UACGAAGGGGGCUAGCGUUGCUCGGAAUCACUGGGCGUAAAGGGUGCGUAGGCGGGUCUUUAAGUCAGGGGUGAAAUCCCGGGGCUCAACCCCGGAACUGCCUUUGAUACUGGUAGUCUCGAGUCCGGAAGAGGUGAGUGGAAUUCCGAGUGUAGAGGUGAAAUUCGUAGAUAUUCGGAGGAACACCAGUGGCGAAGGCGGCUCACUGGCCCGAUACUGACGCUGAGGCACGAAAGCGUGGGGAGCAAACAGG
rnacentral:rRNA from 1 species